AAAACUUUCAACAACGGAUCUCUUGGUUCUGGCAUCGAUGAAGAACGCAGCGAAAUGCGAUAAGUAAUGUGAAUUGCAGAAUUCAGUGAAUCAUCGAAUCUUUGAACGCACAUUGCGCCCCUGGGUAUUCCUGGGGGCAUGCCUGUUCGAGCGUCAUUUC
rnacentral:rRNA from 1 species